rnacentral:rRNA from 1 species
GAUUAACGCUGGCGGCAUGCCUAAGACAUGCAAGUCGUACGAGGUGGCCCAUAGAAGUUGGAAUGAAGUUGGAGAGCUUGCUCAAAGAUAGAAUGAAAAUGGAAGUGGAUUACCACCGAGUGGCGCACGGGUGAGUAACACGUGGGAAUCUACCUUUAAGUUGGGAAUAACAGUUGGAAACGAUUGCUAAUGCCGAAUGUGAUAGUGAUAUCAAAGGAGCCUUAAAGCUUCGCUUAAAGAUGAGCCUGCGGCGUAUUAGCUAGUUGGUGAGGUAAAGGCCCACCAAGGCGACGAUGCGUAGCCGGACUGAGAGGUUGAACGGCCACAUUGGGACUGAGACACGGCCCAAACUCCUACGGGAGACAGCAGUUAGGAAUAUUCGGCAAUGGGGGAAACCCUGACCGAGCAAUGCCGCGUGUGCGAUGAAGGUCCUUUGGAUUGUAAAGCACUUUUAUUAAGGAAGAACUAUGUAUAUAGGAAAUGAUAUAUAUUUGACGGUUA